CAGGGACUGGUACGCCUUAAAUAUAACUUCUGGAACUGGACCUGGACAUGCCAACGCUGCCUCUCACCAGCUGCAGGACUUUGAGUAAAUGAAAUUGAACUACCCUCUUCCCAGCAGGUGUUCUCGCUUGAUACACGCGGGUAAUAAAUUUCUUACUGGUUAGGAUUAAAUGGCACCAUAUGUAGGGUCUCAGGCACACUCAGUAGGGAUUCCUUGAUUAGGGAACCGAGCUCUGAGCUCAACCCUGGAUCCAAGGCAGUGUUUGAGAUCUCAGUGCCUCAGGGGCUCUCCCUGCUCUAACCCACGACCCUGACCUAAAAUCCCGCCGGGGAGGGAGCCGCUGCCUCCUCUUGCCUUCGCACCUCGGUGGCUGGGGUGACUCCUUCUCCCCGCGGCCUCUUGAGGAUGAGGUGCAGUCUCUUCCCAGGCUCCACGAGUUUUCGGGGCUCAAAGAAACACCAGCAGCGUCCCGGGAGGAGAAAGAGGGUCCCCCGUCCUUUGGGGCCGCGCGGGACCCGGCUGCGGGGGCUGGACUCCCCGCUACCCAUUUCCGAAAAGUCGCCGCAGAUUUUCGGCCACCAGAAGCCGCCUAGUGCAAGGCAAGCGUCGGAGUUUGGAGAGGCCUGGGCGGGUGUGACCGGGUGGUGCAGAGGCUUCUCAAGAAAGGGGCAGCUUUUUUGCGGGGGGUGUGUGUGUGGGGGAAGCUUUCGUCCGAAAUUUAGCUCCGCUGGGGCUUGGGAUAUUUGCUUUUCCUCCCCAACGUCUGCUUUAUUCUCUUCCAAAGAGCAUGUUCUUUUGCCGGAUUCUGGGCAUUUUCCGACCUCGUCAAAAAGGAUAUGCCGGGAAAGGAACAUGCAGAUAGUUUAACAUUCUUUGGUUGGAGUCUGAGGAAGUGUCACCUUGACGCUAAGGAGACUUGGCGCUUUCAGGGAGUGUAAAACUUGCAAAAUUAAGAUCCCCCCCUCCGUCUUUCCUAAAGACAACUUUCUCUUCCCCUGCCCCAGCUUUCUUCAGCAUAAAGCCUUGAUGAGCCCUAGGCUGGAAUCACUGGAAGUUAAGGAGUCUGGGGG
rnacentral:lncRNA from 9 species